rnacentral:rRNA from 1 species
UGUGCGCGAGUCACUGGGAUAAUGUCUAAACCCAGAGGCGCAGUGAAAGCGUGGGGCUCGCCCGGCAUAUAGCCGCGGCGAGCCGCUAAGGGAGGACGGCCGGUCGUUCCCGAACGGUGCGGCCGGCCAGCACUCCCGGGGCGCCUCGGCUCCGGCCGCAGGCGCACCCGGAGCGCACACGUUGGGACCCGAAAGAUGGUGAACUAUGCCCGGCCAGGACGAAGUCAGGGGAAACCCUGAUGGAGGUCCGCAGCGAUUCUGACGUGCAAAUCGAUCGUCAGAGCUAGGUAUAGGGGCGAAAGACUAAUCGAACCAUCUAGUAGCU